CAGCGCCCCAAGUGGCAAUCGCGUUUAUUGGGCCUAAAGCGUCCGUAGCCGGACUGAUAAAUCCGCUGUGAAAUGGUUGUGCUCAACGCAACCGCGUGCAGUGGACACUGUCAGUCUUGAGACCGGGAGGAGUUAGAGGUAUGCCGUGGGGACCGGUAAAAUGGUAUAAUCCGCGGUAGACCACCAAUGGCGAAGGCAUCUAACCAGAACGGAUCUGACGGUGAGGGACGAAAGCCAGGGGAGCGAACCGGAUUAGAUACCCGAGUAGUCC
rnacentral:rRNA from 1 species